AACGCUGCGAAUUGUGUAUUACGGUGGGUUGUGGGCUUUGUGUUUCGUUACUUUAACGUGCCCCAGGCCCAAACCUAAUCACUCACGUCGUUUCACAUCUCUUCCUCUUUGAUUCCUCUGAGCGAUGACGCCUCCUCUCCUCCUCUGCCUUUCUCCUACGUGAAUUUAUCAAGCACCGUGAUGUUUCCUCUCCUACUUUGUGGCAGCUCUCUCCUCUCCAACUAUCGUUCGUUGAGUCUCUACUUUUCUCCGACUCUCUCUCACUCUCCACGUCUGUUCUUCUAUUCCCUCGAAUAUCUUCUCCAUGUCCCUCCACCCCAUCGAGAUCUCUUCUCAUGCUGUCUCCAUCAAUGUUUGAAUAAUCAAAGGGUGAAAACGAACCAGAGGAGUGAUGCGGUGUGGAGUGCAAAGUUAGUUAAUAGAGGCUGUACGGAUGAUUACCACCGCCGAGUAGACAAAUCUGGGUUUUGUUUAUCGGUGAAGAGGAUUACCACCGCCGAGUAAUUAAAGUUAUGGUUUGUGAUUUGAGGAUGAUGGGUAAUAUAUAGUUUAUAUAGGCUGUAAAAGGAGGAUGGUUGGGUGAUAUGUUUUGUGGUUCAUGGCAGGAGAGAGUAAUAUACAGAAAAAGGGAAAAUGCAGAAACAAGAUGGAUGAAAAAAAGGGCCGUGAAGAUCUUAAUUUGGCGUGGGCAGAUGUGUAUGCGAAAUACCAUUACAAGUCACUUGAUCACCACAGCUUCUCUUUAAAGAACUCCACAAGAAGGCAAGAAGGGAGAAGAUUAAUGCAUGGGUGAAGCUGCUACAGAAACUGGUCCCAGGCUGUGAGAUAAGGUUCCUGUUGGAAGAGCUACCCUUGGACGUAUCAUGAAUGUUCUUGGAGAACCCAUUGAUAAGAGAGGCGAAAUUAAAACCGACCACUACUUACCUAUUCACAGAGAUGGCCCGGCUUUGGUUGAUCUAGCCACCGGACAAGAGAUCCGUGCCACUGGUAUUAAGAGAAGCAGACGAUGGACCGGUUUGAGGAUAUGGUGCAGUUUGCGAAUUGUGUUUCUCAAAAAGUGGAUUGCUUAAUUGCCUUUUAUUUCAUUUGAGAUCCAGAAGAAGAGAACUUUCUUUUUCCAUCCAGUGACCUAUUAUUUGAUUUUCAAGCAGGUGGCAAAUCGAGUAUUCUCCUAUAUUUUUUUUUGUUUUUUGUACUUCUUUUGUUUCAUGCUAAUUAUCUUUUUUUCUUUAGACAGAAAAAUAAAUAUAUCGAGUACGAUUAGAUUAUGUGUAUCAUGUAAUGGAAUGUACAUAUACCAAAAUCGGUUGUUUUACAUAUACCAAGAUAACUGGCUCAUUAAAACU